UGAUCCUGGCUCAGAACGAACGCUGGCGGCAGGCUUAACACAUGCAAGUCGAGCGCCCCUCCUUCAAGCAAGCUUGAAGGUCCUUUGGCCGAAGGCCAGGAAAGAGGAUCAAGAAAGCCGAGCUUUCUUGAUGGAGGGGAGCGGCAGACGGGUGAGUAACGCGUGGGAAUCUACCUAGCUCUACGGAAUAACCCAGGGAAACUUGGACUAAUACCGUAUACGUCCGAGAGGAGAAAGAUUUAUCGGAGUUAGAUGAGCCCGCGUUGGAUUAGCUAGUUGGUGGGGUAAAGGCCUACCAAGGCGACGAUCCAUAGCUGGUCUGAGAGGAUGAUCAGCCACACUGGGACUGAGACACGGCCCAGACUCCUACGGGAGGCAGCAGUGGGGAAUAUUGGACAAUGGGCGCAAGCCUGAUCCAGCCAUGCCGCGUGAGUGAUGACGGCCUUAGGGUUGUAAAGCUCUUUCAACGGUGAAGAUAAUGACGGUAACCGUAGAAGAAGCCCCGGCUAACUUCGUGCCAGCAGCCGCGGUAAUACGAAGGGGGCUAGCGUUGUUCGGAAUUACUGGGCGUAAAGCGCACGUAGGCGGAUACUUAAGUCAGGGGUGAAAUCCCGGGGCUCAACCCCGGAACUGCCUUUGAUACUGGGUAUCUAGAGUAUGGUAGAGGUGAGUGGAAUUCCGAGUGUAGAGGUGAAAUUCGUAGAUAUUCGGAGGAACACCAGUGGCGAAGGCGGCUCACUGGACCAUUACUGACGCU
rnacentral:rRNA from 1 species